CCUACGGGCGGCAGCAGUGGGGGAUAUUGCACAAUGGGGGGAACCCUGAUGCAGCGACGCCGCGUGGGUGAAGGAGCGUUUCGGCGCGUAAAGCCCUAUCGGCAGGGAAGAAGAUGACGGUACCUGGCCAAGAAGCCCCGGCUAAUUCCGUGCCAGCAGCCGCGGUAAGACGUAGGGGGCAAGCGUUAUCCGGUUGUACUGGGUGUAAAGGGGGCGCAGACGGCAAUGCAAGCCAGGAGUGAAAGCCCGGGGCCCAACCCCGGGACUGCUCUUGGAAAUGGAUGGCUGGAGUACAGGAGGGGGAGGCGGAAUUCCAGGUGUAGCGGUGAAAUGCGUAGAGAUUAGGAGGAACACCGGUGGCGAAGGCGGCCUGCUGGACUGUGACUGACGUUGAGGUGCGAAGGCGUGGGGAGCAAACAGGAUUAGAUACCCGAGUAGUC
rnacentral:rRNA from 1 species